GGGCCCAUAGCUCAGCUGGUUAGAGCACUUGACUCAUAAUCAAGGGGUCGCUGGUUCAAGCCCAGCUGGGCCCACCA
rnacentral:tRNA from 1 species